rnacentral:rRNA from 1 species
UACGUAGGGGGCUAGCGUUGUCCGGAAUCAUUGGGCGUAAAGCGCGUGUAGGCGGCCCGGUAAGUCCGCUGUGAAAGUCGGGGGCUCAACCCUCGGAUGCCGGUGGAUACUGUCGGGCUAGAGUACGGAAGAGGCGAGUGGAAUUCCUGGUGUAGCGGUGAAAUGCGCAGAUAUCAGGAGGAACACCAAUUGCGAAGGCGGGUCUCUGGGCCGAUACUGACGCUGAGGAGCGAAAGCGUGGGGAGCGAACAGG